GAAAAACCCGUUCGCCGAAAGACCAAGGGUUCCAGUCCAACGUUAAUCGGGGCUGGGUGAGUCGACCCCUAAGGCGAGGCCGAAAGGCGUAGUCGAUGGGAAAAUGGUUAAUAUUCCAUUACUUCUGUGUAAUGCGAUGAGAGGACGGAGAAGGCUAAAUCAGCCUGGCGUUGGUUGUCCAGGUGAAAGGAUGUAGGCAUGUAUCUUAGGCAAAUCCGGGGUACUCUAUGCUGAGAUCUGAUAGCAAGCUGUACUUGUACAGCGAAGUGGUUGAUGCCAUGCUUCCAGGAAAAGUCUCUAAGCUUCAGUUACACAGGAAUCGUACCCGAAACCGACACAGGUGGUCAGGUCGAGUAGACCAAGGCGCUUGAGAGAACUCUGCUGAAGGAACUAGGCAAAAUGGUACCGUAACUUCGGGAGAAGGUACGCUGUUGUUGGUGAUGGAACUCGCUUCCUGAGCUGACGACAGCCGCAGAAACCAGGCCGCUGCAACUGUUUAUUAAAAACAUAGCACUCUGCAAACACGAAAGUGGACGUAUAGGGUGUGAUGCCUGCCCGGUGCUGGAAGGUUAAUUGAUGGGGUUAGCGUAAGCGAAGCUCUUGAUCGAAGCCCCAGUAAACGGCGGCCGUAACUAUAACGGUCCUAAGGUAGCGAAAUUCCUUGUCGGGUAAGUUCCGACCUGCACGAAUGGCAUAAUGAUGGCGGCGCUGUCUCCAGCAGAGGCUCAGUGAAAUCGAAAUCGCUGUGAAGAUGCAGUGUACCCGCGGCUAGACGGAAAGACCCCGUGAACCUUUACUGCAGCUUGACACUGAACUUUGACCUUACUUGUGUAGGAUAGGUGGGAGGCUUUGAAGCUGGAACGCUAGUUCCAGUGGAGCCGUCCUUGAAAUACCACCCUGGUAAUGUUGAGGUUCUAACUCUGUCCCGUGAUCCGGGACGAGGACCGUGUCUGGUGGGUAGUUUGACUGGGGCGGUCUCCUCCUAAAGAGUAACGGAGGAGUACGAAGGUGCGCUCAGCGUGGUCGGAAAUCACGCGUAGAGUAUAAAGGCAAAAGCGCGCUUAACUGCGAGACCCACAAGUCGAGCAGGUACGAAAGUAGGUCUUAGUGAUCCGGUGGUUCUGUAUGGAAGGGCCAUCGCUCAACGGAUAAAAGGUACUCUGGGGAUAACAGGCUGAUACCGCCCAAGAGUUCAUAUCGACGGCGGUGUUUGGCACCUCGAUGUCGGCUCAUCUCAUCCUGGGGCUGAAGCAGGUCCCAAGGGUAUGGCUGUUCGCCAUUUAAAGAGGUACGCGAGCUGGGUUUAGAACGUCGUGAGACAGUUCGGUCCCUAUCUACCGUGGGCGCUGGAAAUUUGAGAGGAUCUGCUCCUAGUACGAGAGGACCAGAGUGGACGAACCUCUGGUGUACCGGUUGUGACGCCAGUCGCAUCGCCGGGUAGCUAUGUUCGGAAGGGAUAACCGCUGAAAGCAUCUAAGCGGGAAGCCUACCUCAAGAUAAGAUUUCCCUAGGACUUUAUGUCCUCUAAAGAGCCGUUCGAGACUAGGACGUUGAUAGGUUGGAUGUGGAAGCAUAGUGAUAUGUGAAGCUGACCAAUACUAAUUGCUCGUGAGGCUUGACUA
rnacentral:rRNA from 1 species